CUCCAUUCCAGUUUUUACCUUUGACAUUGUUGACCUUAUUUGAACUCUAUUUUUAUUGGUUCUCGUGAUCAGCUGUCUCGGGGCAGAGCGCCGUUUUCAGUUUGAUAGAGCAGACAUGUUGGUUAUUCUGUAGAGUUCUUUAAAAAGGAACUUAAAUAAUGGAAUUAUUUAAUAGUUUAAUACAGUAAAGCACUCACGGGAGACAGGCGAAGAUGUGUUGUGUAAGGUAGCUAGUGUGAUCAAGUCCAUGAUUUGGUCACCGUGUUUCGGUCACCGUUUGACUAGGAAAAUGUUAAUUAGAUAAAUACCAGACUGUUUGGUGUCUAAGACAAUAUAAGGAUGUGAUACAAAAUGUGAUACAAUUGAUAAAUAAUAAAAAGGACAUUUCGAACCACGCAAA
rnacentral:lncRNA from 1 species